UGGGGGAAGGGUAGCAAAAGGCAUCGGGAGUAAAGCCAGGCCCCCAGCUCCUUCCUGAAAGCUGAGUAGGGUUCCUUCCUUUCCCGGAGGGAGGAGAGUCUGGCUUCUGAGCCCUAGAGACGGGGUGGGGCGGGGGCGCUGGGCUCAACAGGUGCAGGCCUGGGGGGAUACCCCGGGCCACUUUGCUAAGCCAGCGCACUAGCCCUGCCCUUUUAGCAGAAAGGCCUGUAGCUAAGUUUAGCUAGCCAGACCUUUGCUAAAAAGGCAGGGAACACGCAGGGCUGCACCCCAAAUCUAGCCCCAGCCUCUUGCCUGUCUAGGGUUGCCCUCUCCUUGGGGCCUCAGAGCGAGCACCGGAUGUCUCCGUCUCGCAGCUGUCUGUGUGGCCCAUGCCCAGGCUAACUAACCAUGAGCAGGCCAGGAGGACAGUGCUGGGAGCGGGGUUCGGGCCGGCCUGCCUCCCUUCCUGCAGAGCCAGCAGCCUUCAUCUUCCCCCACCAGCCUUGGGCCUCAAGCCCUAAACCAAAGCACGAUUCUGGGGUACUAUCUUUCCUUUUUGACUCGGGCCUGUCACUCCCUCUCAUCCCCCAAACAGGCCCGGAGCACUUCUGAUGCAGGGUGCUGUUGCCAUGACAGCCAGAGCCAUCACCAUGGCAGGCUCCUUCCUCCGGUCCUCAGUGACUCAGCAGACUGGAGACUUGUGGGCAGGGGAAUGAGUGCAGAUGCAUCACGGGGCUUGCUCCUGAGGAGCUGGACCUCCCGCAGACACGUCACAGCCAGACAGAGCUGUCUCUGCAGAAUGGGGGGGGGGGGGGGCCGUCAUGAGCUCUCUGCCGUCAGCCAGGCCAGGACAACUACCCGCUUCAGGGAAGGACUGGGGCACACAGGGUCCAGAGCAGGAUGUCACUGGGACGUGUUAGGCUGCACAGUUCUGUCGUGGGCUGUCCUGCGCUGUUUAGCAGCAGCUCUCCCCAUCUUCCUUCCCACCCACCGACGGUCUGCAGGCAUUGUCAAAAACCCUUGGAACAGAGUCACUCCCGGCUGAGAAGUACUGUGUGAUCUAGAAACUGGGUAAUUGUCCAGAGCACGGCCAUCUUGGGCCUCACGAGGCAAUGCAGGAGCACGGGCUCAUGCGAGAUCUGCGCAGUCUUGUCUCACCUGGGCUCAUCUCUCUGAAUGUGUAAACCCUGUGUCUGCUGCCUGAAUCUGGGCUCAUGUGAAAGGUGAAAAAAGACCAGUUUAAGACAAUGCUUAAAAGGAUUUAAAAACAUUUAUUCAUUAGAAAACAAGGCAAACAUCUGCGGCAGAGUGAAAGCAGCUGUGUGCGGUUUGCAGUUUAAAACCGAGCGGAGGCGGCAAGUGCACUGCACAAGGGAGGAGCCGGAGGCUGCGUCCUUGAAGAUGCCCUGCCCAGCAGGGACGGGGGCAGGACCACAGCUCCUAGGGCUGCCGCCUGCGGACGGAGGCUCUGCGGAUGGGGGUGGUUUUCUUGGGGGUCUCAUCUUCUGUCAUCUCAGCUGAAAGCUCUGCUCAAAAAAAACAGGAAUAAAAGCUAGGUCACAGAGAUGGUGCAAAUAGAUCUGAGAGAAUAAAUUGGGCAGAAGCAAACCCAACUGCAGGGGAAGGCAUCUUCUGGCAGGAAAGACCUGAACCAGGUACCCUGAUGUCUACAAGGGCACAGCGUACCCUCCUCACUGGACUCGUCGCUGGAGAAGACCACCUUGGGUUUACUCUUGGGUCUGCGCUGCUGAGUGCUUGGGAGCCGGCGGCAGGUGCGCCGAGGUCCAGGUGUGGCGAAGUCGUCGUCAGAGGGGGCAGAAGUCAGAGGCUGCUGCCGGGAGGCUAGACAAGGCAGGGAGACGUGGUUCAAACAAAUGGAAACCCGGCUCCUGCGUGGGCUCGCCAUAGACAGGAGGCUGCCUUUCCUACCGGCGGAAGGUUUCCUGGCUGAUGGAGCCCUCUGGCUCCGUUCAUCGUCAUUCUCAAGCUCCUCUAGUGCGUCCAAGCCCCGCGUGUGACAGGCCCGAAGCUUCUGCUCAAAUUCAUCUAUGAUGGGCUGGGAGGAAAAGUUCCAGAGCAGCCUUGGAAACACUGCUGUGUCCCUGAUUAAAAGGCUACAGUGUGGGAUUCUCGGGGCAGUGAGACUGUUCAGCGGGACACAGCAGUGGUGCUCAGUGAGCCUCCGUGGGAACUGUGGACUUUGGAGGCUGACCGGUCACUGGUUGUCCAGGCCAAGGCAGGAAGGGGCGGGGGAGGAGGCCGGGUGUGAGGAUGCGGGAGGGACCUACCUUGCCCUCGGGCUUGGCCCCGCGCCGCAGCUUGCCCACAACUGACAGAAAAGCGCUGAAGAUGGACUCGUCUGACAGCAUGUUUCCAAAGCAGUCGAAGUUGUCGAGCAUCUUACGGACGCCCCGCUCCGUGAGGGGCAGCUGGGACACGCAGUAAGCCAGGUCCCGGUGCUGCCGCUCGGUUCUGCAGACGGAAGGGACUGGCUGAAGAGGAGGUGAGGCACAUACUUCCUCCGCAACAACCCCCAGCUGCCUCCACCUGGCUCACCUUGUGGGAGAGCUCAUUGAAGAAGUUCUUGGCUAGGGCCGCAAUGGGAGGCUCGGGGUCGAUGAGCAGCACAGCCAUCUCGCUCACCUGGCCCUUCACCUUCACCAUGUCUUUCAGGAUCAGGUGGGUCAUCACCAGCCCUGCUGUCUUCCGCACCUGCUGAGCGGGGUCUCGGAGGCUGGGAACGAAAGGUCUAGUCACUGCCACCGAGGCAGGGCCUCAGGAGAAAGCUUCAGUUCCCAGAGUCCACCUAGCCAAGGGCCCACUGGUGCAGGACAUCUAAUGACUCACGGCGCCUUGAGGAGGGAGAGCAGCGCUCUCAAGGGAUCGGGAUCUCUUACCGAGCAUACAGAUGAGGUGUCCAGGGGUCCACCAAGUUGGGGAAGCGGAUGGCCAGGUCCCCAGUGGCAACCAUGAGGUUCGAGCGGACAGUGGGAAGUGAGGACUUUUCAAGCAUGGUGAAUAAAAGGCGAAGCUGGGAGUCGCAGAAAGUGGCACUGGGGGCAAGGACAGGGUCAUCAGGGGAGUGGGAAACCGCCACCCACCCCGCUGGGCGUGUGGACAGGGCCUACCUGACCAUGCAGAGCUUGCCCAGGGCCAGCGAGGCGGCUGCACACAGGUCGGGGCUGCUAUAGAGGCCGGGGCUGCUGCAGACUUUGAGCACAAGUGGAACGAAGGCGGCCAGGACCUGCUUGCCUGUGGGGAGAGCAGCUCUGAGGGGCUGAGUCACGGCCACCGUGUUGAAGUGCUUAGGAAAUUGUCUCACCAUCCAGCAGUUCCACCUCACAGAUGCUGCGGAUGAGUUCUGCCUCAGUGUCAUCGGCAGUGGCUCCGGUCAGCCCCAGCUCUUCCUCCAUGGUUGUCUCAGAGCUUGUAUUCUGAAGGGAAAGAAGCCAGAGGCUUUAUAUUUUGCGUGGAGAACAACAGGAUCUUAUGUGGCCCAGGCUGGCCUUAAGCUCUGGAUCCUCCUGUGUCUACCUCCCAAAUGCUAGAAUUACGGGCAUACAUGACUGUGUCCUGCCUGAGACAUUGUUUUAUUUCCAGCCUAACAUUACAUUUUGCAUGAACACAUUUUAGGAAAGGUAAAGUCUACAAAACCAUCCACAGAACUGCCAAAUGUGUCUACAAUAAAUUCCUAAGUAGAAAAAAACA